GGGUAUAGCUCAGUGGUAGAGUGCAUCCUUAGCAUGCAUGAGGUUCUGGGUUCCAUUCCCAGUACCUCCA
rnacentral:tRNA from 1 species